rnacentral:lncRNA from 1 species
GGAAAGUAGAGCAUUGCAGUAGUUUAGAAGUGACAAUAGAAUGGAAAAUACUACUUGAGUAAAAGUAGUAUUUCCCAAAUACCCAAAGUAUUUGGGUUUUAAAUAUACUUAAGUAUCAAAAGAAAAUGUGAUUGCUAAAAUUAAAAGUAAAAUUAUAAAUUUCAAAUUCCUUACAUAAAGCAAACCAGACAGCAACAUUUUCUUGUUUUAAAAAAAAUUACAGAUUGCCAGGGCCAUUCUCCAACACUCAAACAUAAUUGGCAAAUGAAGCAUGUGUUUAUUGAGUCUGCCAGAUAAGAGGCAAUAGGGAUGACCAGAGAUGUUCUCUUGAUAAGUGUGCAAAUUAGACAAUUUUCCUGUUCUGCUAUGCAUUCAAAAUGUAAGGAGUAAUUUUGGGUGUCAGGGAAAAUGUAUGGAGUAAAAAGUGCAUCAUUUUCUUUAGGAAUGUAGUGAAGUAAAAAUAAAAGUUGUCACCUCAUGGGUACUUUCCCCUACAGCUAACCAGUUUAGCAUUGUAGCAAAAACAAGCAAAAGUUUGAGUAGUCAUUCAUCUUCAGGACCAACAAGUUACAAAAGCCUACAGAAUUUUGCAUGCUAAUGCUAACAUGCCAAUUCAACUAUACUUCUUACUUGUUACAGCACCUGUACACACAACACCUUCAACACUGCAAUGUACCCUCACAAUACAGAGCAAGUACCUACUUUAUCACACUAAAGCAUAUCUCUGAAUACUUCAACUUUUGCAGCAUUCAUAGGACUCUUUACAAAUCAAUUUGAUCAGGUUUGUCACAUAGAAUUACCUUAUGCAACACGAGCCUGGCUUUUCAUUUGCAAUCAACAGGUUGCCUGACCCUGCGCACCAACGAACGCGUAAACAAAGAAAAUGAUCUUCGCUGCUUGUUGCGAGGUCUGCUUGGUCGGAGAAGGUUCAAGGUGUUUCACUGAAGUGUGGACAAUCACUGCAUUUCCAGGGUGAUUGGCUUUCCAGAGCAAACUUGUUUAGAUCCCCUAUAGGCCAUUAGCUUCUGUAAUCUAUUUAAUCUGGCGUGUACUUAAACAAGUGGUCAAUGCUGCUAUGCUGUUGUCUCGGCAAGCAAAGGGAGGAGAGACCCUUCAGAAGUGUUUACGGAAGAUUAUAAUCACACUCCUCCAUUCUCCCUAACAAGGCAAAUAAUGUCCCCCUAAAGUUUACUUCCAUUUCCACCCACUGGGCAAAAACUGGUUGAAUCAACAUUGUUUCCGUGUCAUUUAACCCAAAAAUUCAAUGUGAUGACAUUGAAGCAACGUGGAAAAUUGAUUGGAUUUGCAAAAAGUAAUCAACGUAAGGGAAUGUCAUGUUUUUUUUUACCCAACUUUUAACCUACAUCCAAUGACAGGGCGACAUUUUUGGUUGAUUUCACAUUGACAACUUAUCCAAAUGUAAAUCAAAACUAGACGUUGAACUGGCGUCUGUGCUCAGUGGCCUAAACUAAUGCAGACCUAUCAAAUACACUGGCCAUAAAGAUGGAUUAGAAGAUCUCUAAAGAUUACACUCCAACAGUCUAGGUCUGCGUAAAGAGGACCUCACCCCAUACCUCUGCAUUGAGUUAACGUCCCAUUUAAGAUCUGUUGCUCUCUGUCAUUAAAUGGGGGUGACAUUUUGGGUAAGACAUCCCCAAGAUUCUACUGUAGUAGUGGACUGCAUGCACGAGGUGCAACUGACAUCUGUUGAAAGCUGAAACCAGUUGAUCUCAACAGACUUACUUUGCCUGUACAUUUUUGUUUAUCUAACAAAGAAAUCCUAAUCGUAGCCGCCUAAUUGUAGGAUUUCAUUCAGUGCACCUUCAACAUCAAUUAUUUUCUUUGAAUAAAUACCUCAUCCACUUCAUCAAUACAACGAGUUUCUUCUGUGUGAGUGUCUACGUAGCUUACUAUACUUCGUCACUGGUGUUUGUCAGCCUUCCACAACAUUGUCAAACCUGCAACCCGAUCCACUA